rnacentral:lncRNA from 1 species
CAUGCAUCUAUAGUUCUUGUAAUCAAUCAAAUUUGUUAUAUUCUAACAUAUUCUAAACCCAAACAAUACUAGAUAAGUAAUUUAGUGGUUCAACGCAUAGUUUCCGAGUUCUUAGCCCAUUUGGGACCCAAUUUCAACAAGUCUUUCUCCACACUUCUAAACACUUUUCAUGCAUUUCUAGCACUUGUAAUCAGUCAAAUUUAUUGUAUUCUAACAUAUUCUAAACCCAAACAACACUAGAUAAGU